AACGAACGCUGGCGGCAGGCUUAACACAUGCAAGUCGAGCGCCCCGCAAGGGGAGCGGCAGACGGGUGAGUAACACGUGGGAACAUACCCAUCUCUGCGGAACAACUCCGGGAAACUGGAGCUAAUACCGCAUACGCCCUUCGGGGGAAAGAUUUAUCGGAGAUGGAUUGGCCCGCGUUGGAUUAACUAGUUGGUGGGGUAAAGGCCUACCAAGGCGACGAUCCAUAGCUGGUCUGAGAGGAUGAUCAGCCACAUUGGGACUGAGACACGGCCCAAACUCCUACGGGAGGCAGCAGUGGGGAAUAUUGGACAAUGGGCGCAAGCCUGAUCCAGCCAUGCCGCGUGAGUGAUGAAGGCCUUAGGGUUGUAAAGCUCUUUCACCGAUGAAGACAAUGACGGUAGUCGGAGAAGAAGCCCCGGCUAACUUCGUGCCAGCAGCCGCAGUAA
rnacentral:rRNA from 1 species